ensembl:lncRNA
AAGCCAGAAGAACCAUAGCUUGAUGGACUGUGGCCUACCAGGCCCUGCAUCUUCACAGCACAUGUUUGCAGUACAUAAUGAUGACGUUCACUGGGGAGAGCUUCUGAGCCUCAGGACCAUGUAUCUGGAGGCGCUGCUACCAAAGAAAGCCCCGAGGAACCCAUGGACGACAUCUAAUCCUAUGGCACGUGAGAUUGCAGUCCUCACACGACAGAGGGAGAGUUAGACUUCAAAACUCUGGCCUGGAAAUGCAGCUCUACCACUCAUCAGCCAAAUGAGGCCAGACAAGUCACAGUCUUACGCAAUGCCGUAUCUCUAAACAGGAAUGUCUGC